CAUUGGGUUAUUGCAUGAAUGCCAGAUGCCUAAAAAUGUAGUAGAUGAGGAAUUCAUUCAGGAUGUAAUCAAAGCUAUGGCAGAUGAGAAGAGCUCUUAACUCAAACCUACGUAAAAAAUGAUGUUUCUGUUGCGCUGGUGGUGUGAAAACAGCAACAUCAGAGACCAUGAAGUCGUCACAGACCCAGUCACGUCGACACACUACUAACCCCUCCCCCCCACACUCCUAUCACCCUAUCCCAGCCGGCUGUGACGUCACGGACAGGGAGUCAGGGAGGACAGCGG